rnacentral:rRNA from 1 species
GACGAGCGCUGGCGGCGUGCCUAACACAUGCAAGUCGAGCGAAGUGAGUACUACGGUACGAACUUAGCGGCGGACGGGUGAGUAACGCGCGGACAAUCUACCCUGUAGACUGGGAUAACACCUCGAAAGGGGUGCUAAUACCGGAUAAUGUCGAGAAGCGGCAUCGCUUUUCGAAGAAAGGAGAGAAUCCGCUAUAGGAGGAGUCCGCGUCCCAUUAGCUAGUUGGUGAGGGUAACGGCCCACCAAGGCGACGAUGGGUAGCCGGCCUGAGAGGGUGAACGGCCACACUGGAACUGAGUCACGGUCCAGACUCCUACGGGAGGCAGCAGUGGGGAAUAUUGUGCAAUGGGGGAAACCCUGACACAGCAACGCCGCGUGAGCGAAGAAGGCCUUCGGGUUGUAAAGCUCAAUAGUAUGGGAAGAUAAUGACGGUACCAUACGAAAGCCCCGGCUAACUACGUGCCAGCCGCCGCGGUAACAC